UCUUGAUGGUAGUGUAUUGGACUACCAUGGCAGUAACGGGUAACGAAGAAUUAGGGUUCGAUUUCGGAGAGGGAGCAUGAGAAACGGCUACCACAUCUAAGGAAGGCAGCAGGCGCGUAAAUUACCCAAUCCUGACUCAGGGAGGUAGUGACAAGAAAUAGCAAACCGGGAGCCUCACGGCUUCACGGUAUUGCAAUGAGAACAAUUUAAAACACUUAGCGAGGAACAAGUGGAGGACAAGUCUGGUGCCAGCACCCGCGGUAAUUCCAGCUCCACUAGCGUAUAUUAAAGUUGUUGCAGUUAAAAAGCUCGUAGUUGAACUUCUGUGCGGGGCUAGUUUUGACUUCGGUCUGGCUAGUGUCGCACAUCCGCCUGCGAGACCCGGUGGGCAUUUAUUUGUCGCCGGGAGGAGUAGGCCGUUUACUUUGAAAAAAUUAGAGUGUUUAAGGCAGGCAAUCGCCCGCAUAUAUUAGCAUGGAAUAAUAGAAUAGGACACUUUUCCAUUUCGUUGGUUAUUGGAAUCGUGUAAUGAUUAAUAGGGACAGUUGUGGGCAUUUGUAUUUAAUUGUCAGAGGUGAAAUUCUUGGAUUUAUUAAAGACAAACUAACGCGAAAGCAUUUGCCAAGGAUGUUUUCAUUAAUCAAGAACGAAAGUUAGGGGAUCAAAGACGAUCAGAUACCGUC
rnacentral:rRNA from 1 species